rnacentral:rRNA from 1 species
UAUGGAGGGUGCAAGCGUUGUCCGGAAUCACUGGGCGUAAAGGGCGCGUAGGCGGCUCAUGAAGGCUGUGGUGAAAGUCCGGGGCUCAACCUCGGAUCGGCCGUGGCGACUCGUGGGCUGGAGCACUGUAGAGGCGGGUGGAAUUCCGGGUGUAGCGGUGGAAUGCGUAGAGAUCCGGAAGAACACCAGUGGCGAAGGCGGCCCGCUGGGCAGUGGCUGACGCUGAGGCGCGACAGCGUGGGGAGCGAACAGG